rnacentral:lncRNA from 1 species
CUGUGGCCUGGCGUUGGGAGAAGAUGUGUGAGGGUCAGUGCUGGUCGUGGGCGAGAAGGAAAAGGUGCAGCCUGUGCUCUCACUGGUCGGGCGCGGGGAGACCGUCGAGCAGGCAGCGUGGCUGCUGAGGGCCUUGGACGGGUGCGGAGGCGUUCCACGGGUCUCGGGAGGCUGGGGUGAGGAACGCGUGUCUGGUCGAAAGGGUGACAGGCUCGGGUCCCUCCUUGUGCUCUUCCCUUGGGUCUUCUGGAUCUGAGGCCCCAGACCAAAUCUGCUUGCUGACCAUUUAGCACAUUAAGCGUUAUCUGCGCGCUUCCACGGCCACGUCCACACUCCAGCCACGGCAGCAAGUCACUGUGAUGGAGACGACGUGGCCUGCAAAGUCCAGGCACAUGUUGUGUCUGGCCCUGGGCAGAGAGUGCCCAGCCCCAGGACGUCUAGGCCGUCAGCGGUGGUGCCAACUCUCAGCCAUCACCCCUUGUCCCCGCAGAAGAAAAGGCAGUAAAAGACGAACCGAUGUGUGAAUGAAGACAAAGAUGAUGUUGAAAGUGGCCCAUGAAACGGAGACCAGACAAAAGCGUAAAAGCUAAGGCGCCGUUAGAAAACAACAGGCCAGGGUCCGAGCCCAGGCCUCUGUGUGAAUCCUUCCUCUGUAAGUGCCUGGGCAGUGCCAGGGCCCCUGGCCAGGACGGAGGCCUCGAGGGCCGAGGAAUCCCUCGCAUCCGGCCUGUGACAUGCACACACUCCCUUCUUCUCGUCUGUGGUCGUGUCGCUGCUAAACUGGGCUGAGAAAAUCCAAGACAUGCAGGCUGCCGCGUGCCGAAAAAGCCAGACCCGCCUUGGUCUUGUUAUGGUACUGAGUCUGAGGAGGAAGAAAACGUCUUUGGGAACUUUGCAUAAACUUAAACGUGAGGGUCUUUGCCGUUUGCGAGGGUCGCCAUGGAGACAAGAGCGUGCGAUCAGCACGGCGACCCCUGUCAGCAUCCUCCCGCUGAAACUCCUACGUGUAACAUUAGGUGUGGCUGCUGCUGUGAAAAGACCGAGUGUGAAUGCGUGCACUGUCCUGAUGACAGUGGUGUUGAAUGGUAAGCUGACACCGUGCAGAUUCCCGCAGAGCUGACAUCUGGCCCUGCCCCGCUGCCUCCGCACGGGUGGGACAUCCUUGGGCGGCUCGCUCUUUGUUUCCUCCUGGGUCUCCGGCCUCCUUCGAGGGAGCCUCCCUGUGUCUUUGCUUUUUAGGGCUGCCUGGAGCUUCCUGCAGCUUCCUUGAAGGACACUCCGUGAGUUCGGUUGCUUCGUAUAAGAGAAAAGAAUCAUAUGCUUUCGUAACGACUCCCAUACAUAGUUAAGAGCAGUAAUUUUGGUAGAUAACUGCCUUCGAAACAAGGCAAGCCUUCUUCCCUAACACGCGAAGUCGCAUCGCAUAACCUGCCGCACACUCUGUCUCUAGAAUGGAUCUGUAUUUAGAAAUAAAGGAUUCCCAAAUGUGUGACA